UGGAGGACUGAGAAGGUUAAGCAGCUUGUGCUAUGCUGUUAUAACUGGUUAUAACCUCCAAGAGUAACACACAAACCGCACUAUUAAUUGGCUUUGUCAUAAGCAGAGCUGAUGAGUGUGUUUGUGAACAAAAG